UUUAUUGGGUUGUGACCAAUUAAAACGAGUAAAACACUAUUUUCUAGGGUUGAACAGAUCCGAUCGUUUCCUUUUUAUUUUUUUAGGGUUCGUUCAACCUUUGCAAAAAAUCCUUCGACAUUUGACAGUUUAUUUUUCUUCUACUUCUUCGACGUCAAACUUGGUAUAACUACGGACAACUACGUCUUUGUGUUUGUGCAAGAGAGUAGUGGUUCGAACAAAAAACCCAAUUGUAUCGCUACAGAACUAGACAAAAUCAUUGAAGAAGAAUAUGCCAUAACUGGAUUAUGAAGCAACAAAUUCAAGCUCUCGCGGGGAUUCAACAUUAUAAUCUAUACACUUUGGACAACUAAUAGAACUUGGUAUAACUAUGUUGGUUUUGUAACUUAGAAAUCUGGCAUAACUACGUCAGUUUGUUAAAUUUAGUACAACUUGGUUAGUAUGGUUA